GGCGAUCCUUGAAAUGAGUAAGACUCAGAGUUGUUAAAGUUUUCAAAGCGCGGCAGCGGCUCUUGGGGAAAAGGAAGCGAGUUGGAGGGAGCCUGGCCAAGCCGAGGAUGGAGGAUCGCGCUGAGCUGAACUCAGCUGGGGUUCUGUGCUCAAGGCAGGAAUUCUGACACUCCCAAGAGACUGGAUCUGCCUCCUUGGCUCAGCUCACCCUACCAUGCAGACUUUGCCCCUCCAGAUCAGGAUUGGAGUUUUAAAAUAAAAUGGAUGAUUUGACGUUACUUGAUCUUCUGGAGUGCCCCGUGUGCUUUGAAAAGCUCGACGUCACAGCCAAAGUCCUCCCUUGCCAGCACACCUUCUGCAAACCAUGUCUCCAGAGGAUUUUCAAGGCUCACAAGGAGCUGAGGUGCCCCGAAUGCAGGACCCUGGUGUUUUGCAGCAUCGAAGCUCUGCCAGCCAACCUGCUGCUCGUGCGUCUUCUAGAUGGUGUGCGCUCAGGGCAGAGCUCUGGAAGAGGGGGCUCCUUCCGCAGGCCUGGUGUGCUGACCUCGCAGGACAGCAGGAAAAGCAGGACUGACCCCAGAGGUCUGCAGUCCAGCCCUUUCCGACUGGUGCCUAAUAUCAGAAUCCACAUGGAUGGGGUGCCUCGAGCAAAGGCCUUAUGCAACUACCGAGGGCAGAAUCCUGGUGACCUGAGGUUUAAUAAGGGAGAUGUCAUCCUUCUCCGGAGACAGCUGGAUGAGAACUGGUACCAGGGGGAGAUCAAUGGAGUCAGUGGCAUCUUCCCAGCCAGCUCCGUGGAAGUCAUCAAACAACUUCCCCAGCCACCCCCACUGUGCCGGGCCCUCUACAACUUCGACCUACGAGACAAAGACAAGAGUGAGAACCAGGACUGCCUGACCUUCCUCAAGGAUGAUAUCAUCACUGUGAUCAGCCGAGUGGAUGAGAACUGGGCAGAAGGCAAGUUAGGGGAUCAAGUAGGCAUCUUCCCGAUCUUGUUUGUAGAGCCAAACCUCACUGCAAGACACCUCCUAGAGAAGAACAAAGGCCGGCAGUCAGCCCGCACAAAGACCCUGUCCCUGGUGCCCUCAUCCUCCCGAGGCAAAGCAAACAACACGCCCACCCUCCGCAGGGGCCCUGGAUCCAGGAGGAAGGGACCUGGGCAGUUCUCCAUCACAACAGCCUUGAACACUCUCAACAGAAUGGUUCAUUCUCCCUCUGGGCGCCAUAUGGUAGAGAUCAGCACUCCGGUGCUCAUCAGCUCCAGCAACCCUUCUGUGAUCACCCAGCACAUGGAGAAAACAGAUAUUCCUCCCAGCUCUGUGGGACAGGUCAGCACUUACCACCCUGUACCCGCCUCCCCAGGACAUUCCACAGCCAUCGUCAGUCUUCCUGGAUCCCAGCAACACCUCUCCGCCAACAUGUUUGUAGCCCUGCACUCCUACUCAGCCCACGGACCAGAUGAGCUGGACCUGCACAAAGGAGAAGGCAUCAGGGUCCUGGGGAAGUACCCAGAUGGCUGGCUCAGGGGUGUCUCCUUGGUCACUGGGCGGGUCGGCAUCUUCCCCAACAACUAUGUCAUACCCAUUUUCAGAAAGACAUCUAGUUUUCCAGAUUCUCGGAGUCCUGGUCUCUACACCACAUGGACAUUAUCCAACUCCUCUGUGUCCUCCCAAGGCAGCAUUUCAGAAGGUGAUCCCCGGCAGAACCGUCCCUUCAAGUCCGUCUUUGUGCCCACUGCCAUUGUCAACCCUGUGAGGAGCACAGCCAACCCGGGGACUUUAGGACAGGGCUCUCUUCGGAAAUCCGGGCGGAGCAGCAUGAGAAAGAGUAAGUGGUGGCAGAGAGAUGGAUCCCUGCAGAGACCUGCCCAGUCAGGGAUCCCCACCCUUGUGGUGGGCUCCCUCAGACACAAUCCCACCAUGGUCGUUCGGCCUCAGCAGUUCCAGUUCCACCAGCCACAGGGGGUCCCCUCCUCACCUUCAACAGUGGUGGCAGAGCUGGGACCUAAGCCCACUCCCACUGGAGAGCCUGCCCUCACGUGCGUCAGCAGGGGCAGCGACACCAGGAUCCGCUCAGCAGCCAGUUCCCUCAUCAUGGAAGGCAAGGAAAUCCCCAUCAAGAGUGAGCCUCCACCUAAACCACCUGCAUCUGCCCCACCAUCAAUCCUGGUGAAACCAGAAAACUCAAGAAACGGCAUUGAAAAGCAAGUCAAAACCGUGAGAUUUCAGAAUUACAGCCCUCCUCCUGCCAAGCAGUACACCUCCCAUCCCACCUCAGGAAAGCCUGAACAGCCUGCCACCCUGAAGGGGUCCCAGCCUGAAGCAGCCCCCUCAGGCCCAGAGAUGACCGUCCUAUUCGCCCACCGAAGCGGCUGCCAUUCUGGACAGCAAACAGACCUCCGAAGGAAGUCAAGUUUGGGCAAGACCAUGACCCCGGUGCCCGCUGCCUCGGCCAUACAGACCGUGUUCCCCAGCAAAUGAAUCUACAGGUGGCUUUUCUCAGACCCCAAAGAGGAAUGAUAAUUGUGCCAGUCUCAUUGGGCUAUCGUGAGGAUUAACUGACAUAAUAUUAUGAAGUGACAUAGUACACACCUCACACAUGUCAGACUUGAAUGCUUUUAAGGAAACAGGCCACUGACAUUCCAGACCCUGCCUUGGUCAUCUUCCCAGGAGGAGCUAGCAACAGUUGGGAGACCAAAGAGAACAAAUCAUCUCCUUGGAUGGAAACUGCUCAAUGGAGAGUUUGUGGGCCUUGUGAUAUUCCUUGGACGUCAGGGGUGGUACCAGAAUACCAACAGGCUGGCUUCUGGGACAGAAGGGCAAUAGGAGAAGAAAAAAAUUUGUCUUCAACCAGCGCAUCAGUGGGUGGUGGGGUCAGGUUGGGGAACAGCACGUAAGCUGCUCCAGGUUACCACAGACUCCCCACCCUCCUGUUACUCUGUUCUGUUGUCCGAGCCAAACUUUAUCUUGCCAGCUUCUCACACCUUGGCACCUAACUGACAAAUGAAAAGACUGGACAUCAAAUUCCUUCCAGCUCUGUGCCUGGCCAGUCCCUGCAGCUCACAUUUGGAACAGUGAAGGCAGGGGAUGGUAUAAGAUUCUCCUCUUAGAUAGUCAAGCCAGAGAGGCCAGUGCUUCUUCACAACACCCCUAGCUUUGACUCCCUCUCCUGACUCCCACCAAUCAUCCUGAGCCCUUCCACCACACCUUUGUUCUUUUUCCGUCUGAUCCCAUGCCAUCUUUUCUCCCCGACACUGUCUGAUCAAGAGGGUUUCUUUUAGAACAUACUGAUUAAGGAAAUGAGGACUUAGUACAUAAAGAAUUCCAGAAGAAAAAAAUCCAUGAUGUAAUAAGAGAGCUACCACAGACUACAGAGAGGCUAUUUGAAGUAUAAAGAUAUAAAAUCAGUUACAACCAUGCAUUCUUUUUUGUUCAGAAAUAAGUCGUCUUAAAGGACUGGUCAUUAGAAGAACUCCUAUGCCUGGUUUCAAAAAACUAAAAUACAAAUUUUACACCCAACAUGGGAUUCAGACUCACAACCCUGAGAUCAAGAGUUGCAUACUCUCCCACCUGUGCCAGCCAGGUGCCCCUACCUUAAACACAAAUUUUAAAUUAUCUGUAUUAAGCAGAGCAAGCCAUGGUACCAAUAAAUGUGAUUCAGAUGUACCCUGAGACUCUUCAAGCCAUACAUUUUCAUCUCCUCCCCUAUCUUAAGACAUCGAUGAGAAUUUCAUUUUUAAAAGCACAUGCCACCCUGAUUAUUAAAGAUAAGACAAUAAUACAGCAGCAUUUGGAUAUGUUGGUCGUUUAAAAGUUCAGGAUGAUAAUUUUGCUCUGAAACCACCUCAGGCUUUCAUGCAGUCCUGUUUGUAAGCAGGAGCAAGCAUCAGCCAAACCAUGAGCAGAGUAAGGAAUGCAUUUUGUGGUUAAAGGAAUGUUUUCUGCUAUGUGAAGCUGCCACAUGCAGGACUCAAACUAGCACCAGUCUCUUAAUUAAAUGAGCAACCUGGACUUUUUAACCACACCCUACCUUCAGUUAACCCCAGAGGAAAGUGAUAAUAAGCACCAGCAACCGCAAAGUAUUGGCUUUAUCUGCCAGGUGGUGAGUGAGAAGCUAAGAGGUAUGGAGAGACCACAGAAAGGGUAAUUCAAGGAUGACACAGCCUCUCACACAUGGUCAGUGAUUCUGUUGCCAGUUGUCUGUCAUCCCUUUUAACUACUCUGACUCAAUGUUGGCUCCAUUUCCUCUGGGAUGCAUUCAGGUUUGGUUGGCUCCUCUAGCCCCAGCAGCAAAGAAUCUAGAGAUGCUGCCUUCAGACUCUGGGAUCUACUUGUCACUACCAUGAGGCCUUACAGCCCACCUUUACAUAGGUUUCAGUGACUUCAUUUUCCAGAGAAAAGUCAUUUGAAUUCAGAGAAGGAAUUUUACUUUUAUAGAUGAUAUUUGGAAAGGUGAAGUAUAGGCAAGCUGCCCACACAGAAGCAUGUUGUAUAAACUAGGGAGUUGGGGUGAGCGGUGGACACACAACAACGUUUAGUCCCCAGAAACCAUUAAACCAUAUUAGCUAAUUACAGCCUUGUGUUCAAGAGCCUCUCAUUCCCAUUUGCUGCUUCUCACAUUUUCUUUCUUCUUCCUCUCCCAUUGAGGCAACAGGAGAUCACCACUCCUAAUUUGUACACUUGCUGUUUUUUAAGUCUCUGGGAACUUUCCAGGACUUACCAAGUGGAAGGUUUUAUGGAAAUGUAGCUUUUCCUUUGACUCUGCUUAGCCAAUAGACCAAAUAUUUUUUUAAAAACCUCAAUGAAAAAUCUGGUUUGUUUCCAACCAAACAGGAGCUUAAGAAAAGCACCACCACCCACCCCUGUUUCCUAAAGUUUUCAUCUCUGAACUGUCAGUUCCACCAUAUGGAUUCCAAAACAUCAUGGGCCAAAAAGCAGUGGAAGGGGUGGGGAAGCGGUGAGGAUGAAGUAGAAUGGUCAGAAUGAGGUCAGCCCAGAAAUUUACCCUAGAAUAGUUUGCUAACCAGAGUCUGGGUUUCAUCUUCUGGAAUUGUUUCUUCUUAUUCCAUGUGGCUCGGGGAGAGGGUGCCAUUUAGGGGAAAAAGUGGAAAGACAAAAUGGAAGGGGAGAAAAAUUCACACCUCCAUGGAAAUGUAAGCAGAGAACCUAUAGACUCUUGUGUCAUGUUUGUUUUAUUUUUUUUAAGUACAGUGUUUUUAAUAGACCAAAAGAGAAUCUUUAUGAGGUAAUACGUAUGUGAAUGAUGUUUAUAAAAAAGGAUGUAAUAUCUUAACCAUUAUGGACUAUUGUAUAAGCUUAGAUAUAUAAAAUAUAGGAACCUACAAAAAUUAUUUUAUAGAGCAAUGGACACUUAAGGACUUCCAAAGUUUUCAUAUCCUUGUUCCAAAAAAAAAAAAAAAAGUAAGUUCCAAGGCUGGCAGCUUAUUUCCUUAGUAUAUUCCACUGUAAAGGCAAGAAGUGUGGUGGGGUUUUAUGUGUUUUCUAGUUUUGUAAUUUAUGAUUGUCUGUAUGGAUUGCUUUGAAAUGUCUAUUGCUUGUGUGUUAGUGUUGUUCGCCCACGUGGGAGUCAUCAGAGAUCCAUUCCACACUUUGCAUCUUGGAAAACCAAAAGGAAUUUUCUGGUGGAAAGAAAAAUUCACAGAACAUGUCUUCACUGUUGGGAAACCCUCAGAUCUGUACCACUGACAGCUCUUUGCAAGUCUGAGGAAAUGGGAAGUUUAACACCAGAGUUGUUGUCUCUCACUUAAAUAUUGGAUGUUGGCUAACUUUUCUCUUGGGAAGAAAGCAUAUAUUUUUAGUAAGUCCUUUUUUUUCUUGCACUUGACAUGGUCUAGAGGAAACCAGAAGUCAGGGCCCUAAGCUGCAUUGCCUCGGGACCACUCUCCACCAUAGUUUUCAAAGAACCGUCCACGUAUCAAUUCUGUUUUCUGUUCCGUGCUUCACUGGCAGAACCAGUGCUCUCUGGAGCCUAGUUUUGUUUGGGUUUGCGGUUCUAAUGAGGUGUUGAGUUUGCUCUUUACCGGCCAGACUGAGGAAAGGAAGCCAAGGGAGACAGGCAUUCCCUGGCUGGACAGGUCCACCUGUACCUCCCACCAGCACAGGAGACCCACACCAGAGACCAGGGCCUGCAGGACCGUCUGCCCUCCACCAGGGAAGGGCCCAUCAGCCAAAGUGGGGACAGUACCCAAGCCUCCUUCAUCAGAAAUGCAUACUGUCCCCAGCUGCAAGCUUGGGAAGCCCGAUGUGUGUUUUAGCAUGAACAAUAAAAUUGGUUUAGUUGUC